CCUACGGGAGGCAGCAGUGGGGAAUAUUGCACAAUGGGGGGAACCCUGAUGCAGCAACGCCGCGUGGGUGAAGAAGUACUUCGGUUUGUAAAGCCCUGUCAGCAGGGAAGAAAAUGACGGUACCUGAACAAGAAGCCCCGGCUAACUACGUGCCAGCAGCCGCGGUAAUACGUAGGGGGCAAGCGUUAUCCGGAUUUACUGGGUGUAAAGGGGGCGUAGACGGCAAGGCAAGUCUGGAGUGAAAGCCCGUGGCCCAACCACGGGACUGCUUUGGAAACUGUGUUGCUGGAGUGCAGGAGGGGUAGGCGGAAUUCCUGGUGUAGCGGUGAAAUGCGUAGAUAUUAGGAGGAACACCGGUGGCGAAGGCGGCUUGCUGGACUGCAACUGACGUUGAGGCUCGAAGGCGUGGGGAGCAAACAGGAUUAGAGACCCGGGUAGUC
rnacentral:rRNA from 1 species